AUUGCAUUAUAGUGUUUUUAAACCCAUUUGUUUUACUACUGUUCGUUGGUUUUGCCGACAUAUGCCUAUGGUUCGUAAGAAAUUUGUUUUCUCAUAUUAUCUAAUCACUUGUAGAUUAUGGUAAAUCGCGGUCGGGAAUGGUUGUAAUUAUUUUUGUUUGCAUAUUUUGCAUAUUUUAAUGAUAUCAGCGCAUAAAUGCAUGCAUAUUUCGUACGAUUUUAGUGCACAUAAUUCCGGGCCCUAUUAACAAAUAAUCGAAACAGAACUUAAUUUAGUUCCACGAAUGAAGUAUAUUAUGGAAUGUUCGCAGCUUAUGCGAAAACGCGUUCGCUGUACCCCUACCGUCUAAAAUAUGCUCGCCGUCCUUUUAUAGCGCCCAAAACAAUACUACCGCUCUUUUCG